GAAUCGUAUCCCUGGCAAACUGCUCCUCAGCCACCAUGUUUGAAGAAGAACUGAGAUAUUUACAGCAAUGCCAUUUUAAUUGCGAAACAGGCAAAUUUCUGUUGCUGAAAGUUGGAAGAUGGUGCGGGGAGUCUUUUCAGGUCCAACUAACUUGAUCAGGCAUCAUCAGUGAACAAAGCAAAAUGCACAGCAAGGACAAUGACAACUGGCUCAUGUUAAAAGAAUAUUUGGAUGGCUUUGCUGGCUGCCUGCAUAGUACCGCAUUUAGGGGCAUGAGUGUGAAGUUCAGAAGACAACUUAUGGGAGUCAGUUUUCUUCUUCUAUCAUGUGGAUCCCAAGGAUCGAAUUCAGGCGUUUGGGCUUGGUAGCAAGUACCUUUACCGACAGAACAUCUCACUGGCCCUUGUCUUUUUGUUUUAAGACUGGAAACUGAGGCACUUGUGAGGUCAAAUAACAUUACCAACUAGCAUGGGAAAUGAACUCAGUACCUUACUCCAUUUCUGCCUGAGUACUAUUUGGUCUCAGAGCAUAUUUAUAGUUCUAUACUGACAUUGGGACUUGGACCUUUUAUUACAGAAGAAUUAAAAGGAAGAAAU
rnacentral:lncRNA from 1 species